rnacentral:rRNA from 1 species
UACGGGGGGUGCAAGCGUUAUUCGGAAUUAUUGGGCGUAAAGGGCGCGUAGGCGGUUGAAUAAGUCAGAUGUGAAAGCCCUUGGCUUAACCAAGGAAGUGCAUUUGAUACUAUUUGACUUGAGUAUGGGAGAGGGAAGUGGAAUUCCUGGUGUAGAGGUGAAAUUCGUAGAUAUCAGGAGGAACACCGGUGGCGAAAGCGACUUCCUGGACUGUAACUGACGCUGAGGCACGAAAGCGUGGGGAGCAAACAGG